AGUUUUUCAUCAUGAAAAGUCAAGUAAUUUCGUUUUGGCUAAACAAGAAAAAAUCAAUUGGAUAGGGUGAAAACAAUUUCCACAAGUGAACAACGAAGAAGAGAUUUUACAUAUAUGUAAAUAUAUUUGAUUUUUUGCAUGCUACGUAAACUAAACAUUUUUGCGGCUUUAAAUGAAAUAUAAAUACGAUAUAUAUAAAAUAUUAUAGUGAUUUCAAGUAGAUGUCGAUUAAAAACCACAAAACUUCACUAAAGCGCAACUUCUUGCUAAUUUAAGUAACGAGUGGAAAGGGUACUGUGGUAGAUAUACUAUACAUACUACUAUAUAUACUAUAUAUGUAUAUAUUAGAAUCCGGUUAUAACGACUCCGCUUAUAGCGUCAGUCCGGUCAUUGCGACGGAGACUCGAUGGUUAUAGGUUUCGAUUAUUGGUUAUUGGAAAAUCAAAGCACCCUAUAUGCUUUAAAAUUGUUAAAAGUGUUCCUGUUGGCUACUAUAGUAAUCACCGGGCAUGGAUGACAUCUGAAAUUUUGAUUAAUUGGGUACGGGAUUGGGAUGCUGAGCUUAAAAAGCAGAACAAGAUGAUAUUACUAUUACUAUUAAAUAAAUAAAUAAAUAUAUACUAUUAGUUGAUAAUUGUCCUGCCCAUCCCACAAUUAGUAACCUAGUUUUCCUUCCACCAAAUACGACAUCUUUAUUACAACCAAUGUAUCAAGGCAUAAUUCGAUUGAUUAAAUCAAGAUUUCGGAAAAAUCUCGUACUUAAAGCAAUCAGCCAUAUGGAUAAAAACAAAGAUGAAAAUUACCCGAAAAUUACCAUCCAUGAUGCAAUUUUAAUGGUAAAUGAUGCAUGGCAACAACUUUUGCCAUUGACAAUUGCGAAUUGUUGUAAGCAUUCUGGGCUUGCCAAAGAAAAUUUAGAAGGUCCCAGUAGCUUUUUUUCAAAUGAUAUUGAAAUCGGAGAUGACAUUCCUCUAUCGGUUUGCACAAGAGCUCUAAAAGAUGACGGACAGGACAGCGACGACCACGUCGAAGAUAAAAAUUAUGCUGUGUCAGCACCUAGCGUUUUGGAGGCAUUCAAGGCUGCAGAAAUUCUAAAUAGAUUUGUCCCCUCAAAUUUUAAUGACACGCAUAGCGUGUCUCUUUUAAAUACUGUUGUGCGUUACAGUUUUUAUAAAUCAAAAACUA